rnacentral:rRNA from 1 species
AACGCUGGCGGCGUGCUUAACACAUGCAAGUCGAACGAGAAAGGGAUUGCUUGCAAUCCUGAGUAGAGUGGCGCACGGGUGAGUAACACGUAGAUAAUCUACCUUCAAGCCUGGAAUAACUAUUCGAAAGGAUAGCUAAUACCGGAUGAAGUUGUUCAACUCAAGUUGAAUUAUGAAAGAUUGCCUCUUCUUGAAAGCAAUUGUUUGGAGAUGAGUUUGCGGACCAUUAGUUUGUUGGUGGGGUAAAGGCCUACCAAGACUACGAUGGUUAGCUGGUCUGAGAGGAUGAUCAGCCACACUGGAACUGGUACACGGUCCAGACUCCUACGGGAGGCAGCAGUGAGGAAUUUUGCGCAAUGGGGGAAACCCUGACGCAGCAACGCCGCGUGAGUGAAGAAGGCCCUUGGGUCGUAAAGCUCUGUCGACAGGGAAGAAAUUGUAGAUAUCCAAUAGGUAUCUGCAUUGACGGUACCUGUAGAGGAAGCACCGGCUAACUCCGUGCCAGCAGCCGCGGUAAUACGGGGGGUGCAAGCGUUAUUCGGAAUUAUUGGGCGUAAAGGGCGCGUAGGCGGUCUUGUCGGUCAGAUGUGAAAGCCCAGGGCUCAACCCUGGACGUGCAUUUGAAACAGCAAGACUUGAAUACUGGAGAGGAGAGCGGAAUUCCUGGUGUAGAGGUGAAAUUCGUAGAUAUCAGGAGGAACACCGAUGGCGAAGGCAGCUCUCUGGACAGAUAUUGACGCUGAGGCGCGAAGGCGUGGGUAGCGAACAGGAUUAGAUACCCUGGUAGUCCACGCAGUAAACGAUGUUCACUAGGUGUAGCGGGUAUUAAAAUCUGCUGUGCCCAAGCUAACGCAUUAAGGAACCGCC